rnacentral:sRNA from 1 species
UGACUGUCUUGUGUGUAAUUGAGUUUCCCAGUUUUUACAGACUGCCAUUGCUAUGCACAGUUGAGAUGGACAGAGUUUGCUUGUGAAUCCGCCACACUCACUGCCUGUCACCACACCCGCAGGCGACGACUGUAAGGGCAAGAGGCACCUCGACGCGCACACAGCCGCCCACUCGCAGUCGCCACGGCCGCCCGGUCGGGCAGGGACCCUCUGGCACAUCUGGGCAUGUGCAGGUUACUUCUUGCUGCAGAUUCUGCGCAGGAUCGGAGCUGCGGGCCAGGCCGUGUCCAGGACGGCGUGGUCGGCCCUUUGGCUGGCCGUGGUUGCUCCAGGGAAGGCAGCCUCUGGAGUGUUCUGGUGGCUGGGGAUUGGAUGGUACCAGUUUGUUACUUUGAUUUCUUGGCUGAAUGUGUUUCUUCUUACCAGGUGCCUUCGAAACAUCUGCAAGUUUUUAGUCUUGCUCAUCCCACUCUUCCUUUUACUAGGUCUCUCCUUACGGGGCCAGGGCAAUUUCUUUUCGUUCUUGCCCGUGUUGAACUGGGCAAGCAUGCAUAGAACACAGCGGGUGGAUGACCCCCAG